UUGCCCAUCUAAGACAGGCAGUGUCAUAGGUGGCUAACACAGAAGGGUAGAUGAUUCCUCUCUCAAACCCAAAGCAAAUAGACUGUCAGUGCUUUGGAUCCUGUCGAGAGGUACAGCU